rnacentral:misc_RNA from 1 species
AAGUCGUAACAAGGUUUACCGUGAGGUGAGCCUGCGGAAGGAUCCAAUUCACGAAUGAGGGAGCCGGAGCCAUGUCGUGGGGCGAAAGCUCGCACGUGCCAGUAAGCGCCCGUAAACCUCCACCCUUGUGUAUUAUUCUUCUGUUGCUUUGGCAGGCCGCGACCCUCUGGGGGAGCGCUGGCUUCGGCUGGAGAGUGCCUGCCAGAGGACCAAACUCUGUAAUUUAAUGCCGUCUGAGUACUACGAAAAUAGUUAAAA